rnacentral:lncRNA from 1 species
CUUAAAACCAUAGCAGUUUAUUGUUUUGUUGUCCUGUUGGCUAGAAGUCUGAAACCAAGGUGUUGGCAGGGGCAUGCUUCCUCUGAAACCUGUAGGAGAAAUUUUUUCCUGGCCUCUUCCAGCUUCUGGUCCUUGCUGGCAAUCCUUGGUGUUCCUUAUCAUAGAGAUGCAUCACUCCAGUCUCUGUCUCUGCUGUCACAAAGCUGUCUUUUCCUAUGUUGUUUCUCUCCUUUUCCCAUUGGGACACUGGAUUAGAGCUCAUCCUACUCCAUUGUGACCUCAUCUUAACUAAUGACAUUUACAAUAACUCUAUUUCCAAAUAAAGUGAUGUUCUGUGGUACUUAAGGCUAGGACUUUAACAUAUCCUUUUGGGGGGACUGUAACACAUCCUUUUGGGGGGACACAAUACAACCAAUAACAGUCUGUGCUCUGCCUUCCCCAAAUUCACGUCUUUCACAUGAGGAACAUAGACUCACUCAGUCCCAACAUCCCCAAAGUCUUAACUAUUCCAGCAACAACUCCAAGUCCAAAAUCACAUCUAAAUAACAUCAAUUCACAGUCCCAACUCUCAUGAUAUAAAUCAUUUAAAUCAGUUGUGGAUGAAAUUUGUGAUAUGAUCCACCCUGGAGCAAAAUUGCUCUCCAUCUGUGAACUUUGGAAGCAGAUAAGUUAUCUGCUUCCAAAAUACAAUGGUAGGACCAAAGUAGGAUAGACAUUCUCAUUCCAGAAGGGAGAAAAGAGUCACAGGUCCCAAACAAGUCUGGAAUCAAGCAGGGGAUGGCAGCUGUACCCUCUCGGCCCACUGGGGUGGCAGCCCCAAACCUCUCAGUCCAAGGAGGCGCUGUUGGAUAGGGCUCUGCAUCUGUGGCUCUUUCUUCAGGGAAGAAAAAUGGAACUAAAAAGGGAAAACAAUAGCAACAAAGAUCAAAAUAAAUAACAAGGAAGCGGAGAGAAGAAAGAACAUGGUGAAGAGAGUGAAACGCAUUGUCAUUUGGGGUGAAUUGCAG